rnacentral:rRNA from 1 species
AUUGAACGCUGGCGGCAUGCUUUACACAUGCAAGUCGAGCGGCAGCGCGGGCUUCGGCCUGGCGGCGAGUGGCGAACGGGUGAGUAAUGCAUCGGAACGUGCCCAGUAGUGGGGGAUAGCCCAGCGAAAGCCGGAUUAAUACCGCAUACGACCUGAGGGUGAAAGCGGGGGACCGAAAGGCCUCGCGCUAUUGGAGCGGCCGAUGUCGGAUUAGCUAGUUGGUGGGGUAAAGGCUUACCAAGGCGACGAUCCGUAGCUGGUCUGAGAGGACGACCAGCCACACUGGGACUGAGACACGGCCCAGACUCCUACGGGAGGCAGCAGUGGGGAAUUUUGGACAAUGGGGGCAACCCUGAUCCAGCCAUGCCGCGUGCGGGAAGAAGGCCUUCGGGUUGUAAACCGCUUUUGUUCGGGAAGAAAUCCUAUGGGCUAAUACCCCGGGGGGAUGACGGUACCGGAAGAAUAAGCACCGGCUAACUACGUG